AUUGCAUUGGGAGCCCUCUCGAUAGAAAAGGUAACUAACCGCUUAAGAAAAAAAAAAAAAAAAAAACAAAAAGGAAAGAUUGCUACACGGAGAAAGGAGAGAGAGAUCGAGAGAAAAGAGAGACAGAGAAAUAGAGAGGCAGAGAUGUAGACGAGGGCGCCACCCAAAUCUUCUGCCAUCACCGAAAGCCUCCACUCACUACCCGACUAUCGGAAUCACUACUGAAAUAGGGAGAGGCGAUGAAACAGAGAGAGGCCGAGAAAGAUAGAGGCGAUGAAAUAGAGAGAGGAUGAGGCCUGACACACGGACAAAGAAACAGAGAAAGAGGCAGAACGCACCACCUAUCUCCGGCUCCAUUCAACCGCAACCUCAACGUACGCGCAACAAUUUGCCUCUCCCUCUUUUCUUUUCUUUCACAAAACCUAAACCCAAUGCAUCAAACUUCUAAUCCACUUCUUCCUCCAGCAACGUCUCCAUCUGCUCCUCCUCCUCCUUACCUCUCCGGACGGUGUCCACUCACCAAGUUGAGUUUUUCAUUAGUUUUGAGUGAACUUCUGGCUUUAUGGGUUUAGUAUUUAAUUAGGUUUUAUGAGUUUUGUGUGUUUGUAGUGGAAAUUUGAGGUUUUUAAUUCAUAGAUUUACUGAGAUUUAUAGUGAAUUAUUUAAUAGUUUGAUUAGCUUAAUUUUUACUUUAAAUAACUGAAAAAUUAUGCUUAUCACCUUAAAUAACCCCUAAAUCCUAGAUCUCUACGGAUGGAGAAAGAAGGUUCAGUGAGGACUUGGGGAUUUUUAGUUUACAUACUAAUAUUGCCAAUGACCUAAUUUUCUCGAAUUUGUCCUUCAAAUAUUGCUCUAAUGCAUGCCUUACAAGGUUCUCAUAGCAUAAAUGUAUUUAGUAUAUAUUCUAUCUCUGUACAUUGAUCUGUUCGUAUGGUUGUCACUCAUGCACAACCCAUGGUUGAAGUUAGAUGCAUGGAGAAUGGUGUUGUGUGCUAUAGUGUUGAGUUUUAUUGUGAUGAUGAUGUGAAAUAUUGAUCUCCAAUCUCACCCGUUAUAGUCUUAAAGUCCUCUGUUUUAUUUUUCCCCACUUUACAGUGGACCUUUGAGGGCUUACGUUGAAGGUUUGUGUUUAUUUUCAUCUUUUCUCAUCAGGUCCUUUUCUGUUUUUGUGUGUGUGUGUGGGCUGUGCUUGCGUGCAAAUUUGAGUAAUAAAAUUGCUCAACAUAAUUGCAUGGUGUGGUUAUCUUAGUUUUAAAAUAUAGUCAACAAGUUGCAAGUUACAGGAAAUUAGAAAUAUUUCUAAUUGCUCCAGUAUUUGUACAAAGUGAAAAUUCGUGUCUUAUUCUAAGUUGCAUGUUUAAGAGUGAUUUGGGAGGGCAAAGAGUAUUUGAUCUCAAUCAGUUCUGAUUGUGUUUGUUUUGUUUGUGAUGUUAAUCUAGGUAUAUUAGAUUGUGCUCCACUUAUUUAUUUGGGUGAGUUGAAGCAUCCUUUCCAAGUUUGACUAAAUGGUUGGUUGUCUCUGCAGAAGGUGGGUUGAUUCCAUUGAGUGCUUUUAUUUUUCAAUUGCAUUUCAGUGACAUUCAAUUACAAACUUUUAAAUUGAUUUGCACUUACAGUUGAUUUGCAUUUGACUUUUUAAAUUGAUUUGCAUUGCAUUUAGGUGGUUUGAAUUAGAAUUCAACUAACAUUUUACAUAUAAAGCUGUAUUUAUAUGAAAAUCAUUUUACUAAAUGUAGGUUGUAUUCUAAUUUAGAAUUCAGAUAGUUUAAAUGUACAUUUAAAAAAAAAAAAAUUGUUUUCUUAAAUGUUGCUAUAUAUUAUAUUUAUAUAUUGGUUGCUGCAUCAUUAUGUCAUAGAAGUCUUUCCAAUUGAAUUUUUGGCAGCCACAUCUAUUUCCCUAAUUUUGAAUAUCACAUGAUAGCAUGUAUAAGCUACAAUAUCUAUAAUCUGUGAUUGGUGAUUGAAGUCUGCUAGGUUUUUUAUAGUUAUUACAAAGUUAACAAAAAAACUUAGAAAAAUUGUUGAGAUUUGCUUAGAAGUUGUGCAAACUUGAUUUUUAUGCAAAACUAUAAUAUGGAAAAUGUUUCAAUUUGGAUUCUAUUUGUUCAUGCUGUUUUUUUGUGUUUUAUUAAUAUUGAAAUGGUUUAAAACCAAACGGUAGACCCUUUUGUUAAAACAGUAUUUUAACCAUGUGUUUUAAUUGUUUUAUGGGUAUUUUUGUUGGAUUUUUUUAUAAGAUAUUUUGGUUGGAUUGUUUUAAAGGUUUGGCGGUUAGAAUUUGGUUUGCAUUUGGGUUAGACUGUAUUGACGGAAAAAAAAAAAUUCGAUUUUUUUUUUUUGUUGAUGAAUGGCUUUGUUAUCUGUUAAAGCAUAGUGGGUCACCACACGUUCAAUUCCGUUGCGAGGGACAGCUUAGUUGUUCAACAGUCCUUGGUGGUUAGUCGGCUAUUUUUUUUUUGAACUGUCUAUAUUUGAUAGAUGAUGGUAACCUGGCAAAGAAGUGGUCUACUAAAGAACAUCUCUACCCAAUCCGCAAGCUUGAUCAGUCUAAACUGACGUUAAAAGAAAAGAACUAUGACAAGGUUUUAGUGGUUAUAAGUAAUAAAGAUUCAAGUAAUUGGAUGAACUGUUCUAAAAAGUGAUUUGGGUUUUGAAAGAUUGGAUCUUGAGGGCAAAGAGUAGCUGGAAUCAAAUCUCUAAGUUGCAGGCCUAAAUCAAAUGGUUGGUGUUUGAUGGUUAUUUGGAGUGCAGUUUAAUUAUAUUUGGGAGGGUUUAAUUUGAGAGAUUAUAUAAGUUUACCACAAUAUUUAUGUUUAUUGUGCGUGAGUUCAUAUUAGUACGUUUCUAAAAUUUUGCUCUAGUUUUAUUGACAAAAAACAGUUCUGAAUUCAAAGUUAUUGUUAUGAUCUAUGUGAAGUAUUAAAACUAUUGAUUUUCAUAUACAUAUUUUGUGGUCUUUGGUGAACUUGCAUUGGGUUAGUGAUGUGGAAUUAAGUUAAUUAAGACCAUUUGGUGUCAAAGCAUAUGAGAAAGUGGAUUAUUGAUAUAUGGAUGCAUUUACAAUUUCUUAUAGCAUUAUUCUUGAGAAAUCAAAAGUUAUAUAUUACACCUUUAUGCAAAGCUUUUUUGUGCAAUUGGCCUUAUACUUAUUAGAAUUGUAAGCUUUGAUUUAGAACCAUUAGAUUUUCCCCAUGAGGAUCUUUACUUGGGAAUCAGAUUAAAUGGAUUGAAUUGCAUAUUUGAGGUUUGAAGAACAAAGCCAGUCAAUUUUAUUUCUUUGCGCUUUAGCAUCAUCAUCUGAACAACUAACCAUCUACCCCCUUCCAUAUUUUACCAUCACAUUAGGUGAAAUGGACCAGCCUUAAAAAGCAACUUUUUCUUGGAAAACCACACAGACCACAGAACUCCCAACCACCACAGCCAUAAACAAGGAGUUAACAGAUCCAUCCUCAUAUAAAGCAUUAAUACAAUGUUUUACUCAGAAUCCAAUUGACUAUGGUUGCAACAGAUCAAGUCUGACACCACAUUCACAAGCAAACCAAACUGCUCUAGCAAUAGAACAAGAUAAAAACCAGUGGUUUGCAAUCACUUCAUUCUCACCACAAAGUACACAUGCAGAAGAUAUAAUUUGUCUUUUAACCAACUUUUCUUUAACAGGUACAGCAUUGUGUACUAACUUCCAAAAGAAAAGGCCAAGCAUUCGAAAGGCAAUUUCAGCUUCCAUAACCUGGUACUAAGUUUCUGACUGACAGAAGAAGCAGAAUUCAAUUUAUCAUCUAAGCUUUUGUGAUUUAUAUGGAUGAUACUCUUUCUGCACAAAAUAAAUCCUAGACUGAGUGUGGUUAAAUGACCUUAUUCUUAAGAUUCCCAUUGGACAGAGGCAAUUCUUAAAAUCUCAUCUGCCACUGAAGGAUGGUAAAGGGUCUUAAUGAAAAAGGUCUUCCAGCAAAACCCAUCUUGAUCAAUCAGAUCUGCCACAAAAUGCACAGAAGAACUAAGACCAUUAUCCACCCCCUCUUUCAUGAUAAACCAAGCAGGGUGAUUAAAUGGGAUAGAUUUACCAUCCCCUACACACCACUUAGCCUUAGUCAAAACUAAAUUUCUACAAUAGAGUAUACCUUCCCAACCCCAAAAAUUGAAACAUCUCAUCCUAACACUGAAUAUAUUAUUUUGUCUACAAUUUUUGGCCUGCAACACCUUAAAGAACAAACAAUUUUGAUUCAAAGCAACUCUCCAAAAUUGUUUAGCUAACAAUUCUUUGUUCAAAUGUCCCAUCUUCCUACAACCCAGCCCCAUUCUCUUUUUUGGAAAAUAAAUUGUGAUCAAAUUCAUAGAAUGAACUUUCUAACACCUUCUAAAUGGUCCCAAAAAUGAUAGAGAGGCAGUGAAGUAAGCACAGGUUUGAGCAAAGUCAAUCUUCCAGCCAGAGACAACAGUUUUGCCUUCAAAGAAACUUCUAAACAGGUCAGAUUUCUUCUGGCCAAAAUCUAAAUUGAGAUCCAGUUGUUACCAAGUCUAUUAGCUUCUUUAACCUUAAAAAGAGCGAGAACAGAUUCUUUACACUGCUCAGGAAAAACACUGCAGAUUUGUUAAAAGUGAUCAUCUGACUAGAAAGAUUGCAAAACCACUCCAAGCUUUUUAGGCUAAAAUGCACAACACACUAUGUUUGGGGUUGCUUCUAAAUCUGUCUAUUUACUAUUAAUACUUGCAAUUUAGAUCCCUCAUGUAUUGCACCCACCACAUUACUGUGCCCCUUCCGACAACAUCCCUUAGAAUCUUUGAAUUGUGUCUGUGUCCGAAUUAAGAGAUACUUUAGUUCACAAGUAUUUUCCUUGAGAUUAUUUAUAUACACAUUGAUUUUUGAGUUUAUAAUGUUUACAUUCUAAGUUUAAUUCAUUAAUGCAUGUAUGAAUUUAGUUAGUUUGAAAGUAACUGACUGAAAUUAGAAUCAGUACAGACAAAUUAGUUGUGUGUGUGUGUGUGUGUUUUAUUUUAUUUUAUUUUAAAGUAGCAUUGGGACUUUUCAAUUAUUGUUAUAUGAAAAUAUGUGAUUUUAUUUAAGCUGUAUUUUUAUUUGCAGGUAUAGAGAACUAAAUGCAAGAAAAUUCCCAACAAAUUGCUUUGUAAUAUAUGCCCACCACAACAUUUAGUUUAGUCCCUUGCAAAUAAUUUUUUCUUGCAUCUAUUAUUCUAUUUUAUAUGUUUGCUGGAAAUUUAUUUUAUUUUAUAUUAAGGACAUUGUAAUAAAUAACUAGAUUUUGUGAGAAUAGUUUUAUUUAUUUAUUUUAUUUAAAAUCUUAUUAGUGGUUUUGUUUAUUUAUUUAUUGAUUCUAACUCUGUCCAUUGCAUUUGGAUCCAGAAUGCAAUUAACAAUUUGAAGUUGUUUUGAUAAGCUUGACAUAUUAAAUGGAGUGAUAUUGUAUUUUAUAUAUAGCAUUCUUGCAAGUAGGACAAAUGAGGGGCUGUACAACAUGCCCUUGACGAAUUUUGAAUUUUAAUGUAUUGUUAUAUUAAAUUUAUUGUUUUCUAAUUCAUAAAAUGAUCCCGUGUAUUGCGCAGGUUAAAUGCUAAUUUGAAUAAAUUGAGAAUAUUUUAGACGUAUGUUAUUGGAUAUUUGGGUAUUGGUUAAGUAUGUGGAACUUUUGUGCCAUUAGAUGGCUCAUGCAUCAGGCAACGCUGAAGAUAGGAAAUUGUGGCCUCUCCCUAUUGCUAAGCAUUUUAUUGAUGUGUUGGUGGAGGAACUUAAAGGGAACAUGCCACAAGGUAUGUUUAAGAAAGGUCUUUGGGGUUUUAUCCAAAAAGAGUUUAACCGACAUGCUAGUAAAAACUACCAUAAAGACCAAGUAAGGUAGAAAUUUCAAAGGUUGAAGGUUAGACAUCGUGUAUUUUUUGAGCUAAUUGGACAUUCAAGGAUGGGUUGGGAUUCCCAUACAAACAUUGUGAUAGGAAGUGAAGAGGUUUGGACAAAUGCAAUUGCGCCCAACCCUAAAUGCAAGGAGUUCCGGAAAAAGGGCCUUGAUCACUAUGACUUGUUGGGACAACUUUUCAACAAAAGCACUGCCACUGGAUUCCUUCAAAUUUCAUCAGCCCAACCAGCCCCAAACAGUGAUGAAGAGUGAGAGCUAGACGAGGGAUUUCUAUCAGCUAGAGUACAUGUGCAUUUAGAAGCUGAUAGUGGAGAUGCCAUAGAGGAGCUGGCCACACCAAUUGAAGAGCAAAGCAUGUGUAUUGAAAAGCAUGUAGCCCAACCAGAGCAUUCCAAGUAGAAGAAGAAAGGAGAGAUACUUAGUGAGAUGACUGAGGCUAUCAAGGGCUUCACGGAAGUGUCAAAGGUACGGCUUAUAGCUAAUAAGAGUAGAAAGCCAACCGGUGAGUCUUUUGUGAGGAGUGAAAGGUUCUCCAUUGACAAAGCUGUUGAGGUGCUUAACUCAUAUGAUCACUUAUAUGAUUUCACCCACUACAAGGUUCUAAAGGUACUCCUUAAUCCCAAUGUUAGGGCUGCUUUUAUUUCCGUGAAGUUGGAAAGGAGAAGAGCUUGGAUGGAAUUAGUUGGGAAUGGAUAUUAGGCAGGAUUGCUUUUGUUGGGUUUGCUUUGUUUUGUUGUUGUGUUGGGCUUGUUUGGUAGUGUGCCACAUAUUUUGGAUAUAAUGUUAUUAGUUAUGUUUUUAUGUUAGUGGUAGAAUAUGAACUAAGUGGCAGAAAAAUGGAAGUAGUUAUAUUUUUAUGUUAUUAUGAACUAAGUGCAGUUAUAUUUUUAUUUUAUUAUAGACUAAGUGCUGUUAGGGAUUUAUAUAUGGCGUGCACUUUUAUAUAUAUUAUUGUUGACUUAUGUUGUCUUUGAUAUUACACAUACUUUAUUUAAAGCUAUAUUCUAAUAUUCAUGAUUUAUCAUUGUUGUAUUAAUCAUAGUUGUGAUUCAAUCAUGGCCAAUUAUGGUUCAGACUAUGAUGAAAGCGAUGUAGAGCCUGAAAUAGCAACAAGUUAUGUGUUUGAGUGUAUCCAGUAUGUGCAAAAAUAUUAUCUCAAAAGUCCUAGAUGCAACAGUAUUUUGACUGGGAGGUCUUUCAUGGAUGUAAUAAUUGAAGAAAAUCCCUAAGCAUUUUAUGAAAUGUUUUGCAUGGACAUUGACAUCUUUCAGCAUUUAUGUAAUGAUUUGAAAAUGCUAUACUUGUUAGAGGAAGAUAUUGGAAUUGUCUCAGUUGAGGAGGUGGUUGGGAUGCUUUUAUAUGUUGUUGGGCAUAAUAAAAACAUGAGGUUGGCCGCAAACCGCUUCCAACAUUCACUUGAAACCAUUCAACAGAGAUUUUAUCGUGCAUUAAGGGCAAUUCAUUCAUUGAGAUUCAUGAUAAUUAGGCCAGAUUAUGGUGCAAAUGAGCACCCUGGUCAUUUUUGUGAAAAUGGGAUGUAUUAUCCAUGGUUUAAGGUAUGAUACUUUUUCCUAUUUAUAAUAAUUAUUUCAUACUUAUCAAAGAUAAAUAAUACAUAUUUCAUAAUAUGCUGGUGUAUACUCAGGUUAUACUUGCAUGAGUUUGUUUUUGGUAAAUUUUCAAUGAAACUUAAAUUACUUAUUAAAAAUAAAAAAAUUUCUUAUUAUAUAUUGAUGUCACGUAAUGGUUUGUUAAUAACAAUUUAUAGGAGCUAUUGAUGGUACCCAUUUCAGUACUUCCAACUCCAUCUCGUAAGAGUAUCACAUUUAGAGAUAGGAAAAGUAAGAUAACACAGAAUGUUAUGUGUGCAUACAUCUUUGAUAUAAGGUUUACAUACAUUCAUACUAGAUGGGAGGGUGAUGCAAACAAUUCUAGGGUGAUGCAAGAGGCUCUUGGAGAUGGUAAGUAUCAAUUCCCUUGGUCUGCUAGAGGUUACAAAAAUAAUUAUAAUUUCUUACCUGAUGGCCGUAGAUAUUAACCUAAUGUUUUUAAACUUGUCUUACUUUACUCAUGUUAAGACUUAUUUUCGAUUAUUGCAGGAUCCUAUUAGCUUAGGUAUUGCAUUCCUCCCACCACAGAAGUCAGAAAGAUACCAUGCUCGAGAAUACCAAGGUGCUAACAGACAAAUUACAAACCUCCAAGAAUUAUUUAAUUAUAGGCAUUCCUCAUUGCGAAUGGUUAUUGAAUGAUGUUUUGGUGUUCUAAAGGCAAGGUUUCCUAUUCUAAAUGACAUGCACUCUUAUUCACCAGCCAAACAACAACUCGUUGUCACAGCAUGUUGUGCAUUGCAUAACUUCAUACACAGGCAUAACUGGUCAGAUAAUCUGUUUCAUGCAUGGGAAGAAAAAGAUGUUGAAGUAUCACUGUAUGUGAUACAAAUAACUUAAGUGAUGCAAGAGUUGGAAGUGGCAAGAAUGAAGAAGCCUUUAAUCUACAAGCACAACGAGCCAUGACUUAGUAUCAUGAUGAGAUCACUGAAGCAAUGUGGGAAGAUUAUAGAACCCAACAUGGUUGAACAUAGGAAACAAGUAUUUGUGGAUAACUAUAGUCAUGUAUUUUGUAAACUUUUUAAGUACUUGUAUUUUGUGAACUAUGUUCGUUUUUUUAACAGUUACGUGAGAGUAUUAUUUUGUUGUAGUUUAUUUGUAGUCAACUAUAUAUUCAUGGCCAUAUAUUCAUGAAUUAUUAUUCA